rnacentral:rRNA from 1 species
AUCAACUUUCGAUGGUAGGAUAGAGGCCUACCAUGGUGGUAACGGGUAACGGGGUGUUAGGGCACGACACCGGAGAGGGAGCCUGAGAAACGGCUACCACAUCCAAGGAUGGCAGCAGGCGCGCAAAUUACCCAAUCCCGACACGGGGAGGUAGUGACAAUAAAUAACAAUACGGGGCUCUUUAGGGUCUCGUAAUUGGAAUGAGUACAAUUUAAAUCUCUUAACGAGGAACAAUUGGAGGGCAAGUCUGGUGCCAGCAGCCGCGGUAAUUCCAGCUCCAAUAGCGUAUAUUAAAGUUGUUGCAGUUAAAAAGCUCGUAGUUGAAUUUCGGGAUCAGUACGUCGGUCGUGCCUUCGGUACGUACUGGUGUUACUGAUUCCUACCUUCUGACGAACCAUCAUGUCAUUAAUUUGGUGUGGCGGGGAAUCAGGACUGUUACUUUGAAAAAAUUAGAGUGUUUAAAGCAGGCUCGCGCUUGAAUACAUUAGCAUGGAAUAAUGAAAUAGGACGUUGACCCUAUUUUGUUGGUUUCUAGGAUUGACGUAAUGAUUAAUAGGGAUAGUUGGGGGCAUUAGUAUUCAAUUGUCAGAGGUGAAAUUCUUGGAUUUAUUGAAGACUAACUACUGCGAAAGCAUUUGCCAAGGAUGUUUUCAUUAAUCAAGAACGAAAGUUAGGGGAUCGAAGACGAUCAGAUACCGUCGUAGUCUUAACCAUAAACUAUGCCGACUAGGGAUCGGAUGAUGUUAUUUUUAAUGACUCAUUCGGCGCCUUACGGGAAACCAAAGUGUUUGGGUUC